GUAGGAGGCGCCAACGUCCAAGUUUCAAAACUUUCGGCAGAUUUAUUGUAGUCGUCUUUCAAGUGGAAAGGGGUGUGGCCUUCCAAUAAGCUCACUCCUGAUUGGUGAGAGUGGUUGCCAUAGAAACUCAGACCGACUUGGACUAAUCGCUGCUUACUGACGAUGUCGUCCACCAUGAUUACGUCCGUUUCGUAGAUAAAUGGCGACUGUAUUUCUAUGGGUGACGUCACACUAACUCACUCCAGUUCUCGUAUACAGUCAAUUAUUUUGGUCCUUAACUCCUUAAAUCAACAAUACAAAUGAAAAACAUCUACAAACUUCAGGACUCGUUCUCGGUCCCCUCCAUACCGCUGCCGCCCCACCUCCUCUCAUCAGCCACAUUGGAAGGACCACGAGGGAUGCUCUGAAUCCGGAAGUGGGGAGAAGAGGAGGAACCGUCCGCCUUCAAGAGAGCAAGGAAAGGAACGUUCUUUUUCUACGAGGUGGUCUGGUAAAAGGAAGAAGUCCAGAAUCGUGGAUAAACUGACAAAGAAACUGCUGGAAACACCAGCCGUCCAGUCUCUGCUGGAGCUGCCAAACCUGGAGGAGAUGCUGAAAACUCUGAUCCCUCUCCUCCUCGCCGAGUUCAGAAAGAUCAAGUUAUUUUCUUCCCGCAACUCUUAUAAAGUGAAGAGACGGGCGACAAAGACCCGUCCCAGAAAUCCUGAUCAAACCGUUGAGAGACUUUCAGCCACUAAAGCCAAGGUUGGUGUUCAAGAUGGUGUUUUUUUUUUCUACUGUGUAUCAUCUUUGUUAUAUUUAAUUAGUUUGAAUUGAAUCAACAGAAACCAAAAGAAUAGGGUCACCUAAAAAGAAUAUAUAUUUUUUGCAUAAAUGCAUAAUAUUUUGGAAACAUACAGAGUGAUAAGUGAAGAUAAAGCUGUUUUUAAAUUGCAGGAUGAAGAUCUUCAGAGUUCUCCAGCUUCUUCUUCUCAUCAAAAAUCGGCUGACUGCGCACUGUUUAGUGAAUUAAUUGAAACGCACAAGCAGAAAGAGACCACCAAAGGGGAAGGUGUCCCAAAUGCUCCAGCUUUGCUUUUGAGAAUCCCCAAACGUUCACCUCGGAGGGUUCCAAAGGGAGCCGCAGGAGGUCCGGAGACGGGCCCAGAAGCAGAACCUCCUCAACCCGACGACGAAGCCGAAGACGUUCGGACAGAGUCCAUGGAACAUGAAGGUUCGGCUUCAGGGAAACAAAAUGACUCGCUGGACGCUGAACAACACAACACUCAUCCAACAACCAGUGAAGCUGCAGAUCGUCCCGAGGGGAACACCGUCCGAUGUCCACAAACUCCACCUGCAGGGAGAGCCCAACCGACUGCAGGGAGAACAGAGACCGAGGGGGAAACGGCAACACAGACCACGGGUACGGUUUGUUUAGUCAGUCAGUACCUGGUAAAAAAUGUCAGAUUUAUAAAAAUGAUGCACAGGUUACAUUAUUUUUACGUUUGAAAGAAACACUUUUGAAUGUUUUUUAACCUUUGUAGCUGGGAAUGUGGCUCCAGGGGGUUAAGCUGCUGCAGAGGCUUAUGGGUGUGGGAGGGGUCUGUUGACCAUCUGCACUCGCGGCUUUUUGUAAAAUGAAAAGACAACAGCGCCGAAAAUGUUUAUUUUCAUUAAUUAUUUCCUUGUUUCGCUAAACCACCGUAUCAAU
ensembl:lncRNA